UCCUUGGUGGUCCAGUGGUUAAGACUCUUGCUUCUAAUGCAGGGGACAUGGGUUUGAUCCCUGGUCAGGGAA
rnacentral:tRNA from 1 species